GAGUCUAGCGCCUACUAAACUUUCUAUGGAGCAAAAAAUGCUAAAGAUGGUUCCUUGGUUUGGAUCAUUGGGAAAUUAUUCUUUGGAUUGGUGCAGUCAGGAGCUUGGUGUUGUUUUGAUGAAUUCAACCGAAUCAGUAUAGAAGUCCUCUCAGUCAUCGCCUCGCAGGUCCUGGCGAUCAAGAUUGCCAAAAGCAGCUAUUCUGUCAGGUUUGUGUUGGCGUGAUUCUAGUGGGCCCAACAGGCGGAGGAAAGACGACAGUCAGGAAAAUUUUAGAGAAAGCAUUGAUAACACUUCCAGUUACUUCUGCCAUGCUUAUGAAAGAAAGGCAAUCUGAUUCAAAGAAAAAAAUCUCACCACAUUAAGUUUCUAUUCCCCAAACCUGUGCAUUUUUGGUGACUGGAACUUAUAUAAUGAUUGUUAGAGGUUGGAAGGGGACUGGAGAGAUGGCUCUGCAGUUAAGAGUCCUGGCUGCUCCUCCAAAGGUCCUGUGCUUCCUUCCCAGCACCUACAUGGCAGCUCACACCUGUCUGUAGCUACUGUUCCACAGGAUCUGAUGCCCUCUUCUGGCUUCUAUAGCACAAGCAUGCAUACAAUACACAGGCACACAUACAGGCAGAACACCCAUGCACAUAAAACAAAAUUAAAUUUUAAAACUAAAAUAAUUGUUAGUCUUUGUCUUUUAGCUAGUUGGUGUGCUAUGCUGUGUUUUGACAAAUGUAUUACUUACUAUUAAAUAAAUAUUAAUUGUCCCUGGAUUCUCAGGAAGCCUCUAUGUACAUGUUUUAAUGCAAUAUAAAAUAAAAUACUCCACUAAG
rnacentral:lncRNA from 1 species